UUUCCAAAAAUGUUCCCCAAUAAUGCCC
rnacentral:piRNA from 1 species